rnacentral:rRNA from 1 species
CUGACCUGCCCAGUGAUUAAUUUAACGGCCGCGGUAUACUGACCGUGCAAAGGUAGCAUAAUCAUUAGUCUUUUAAUAGAGGGCUGGAAUGAAAGGUUUAACGAGGAACUGACUGUCUCAUUUUAUUUGUUUUAAAAUUUAAUUUUUUAGUUAAAAAGCUAAAAUUUCAUUGGAAGACGAGAAGACCCUAUAGAUCUUUAUAGAAAUAUAUUUAAUUAUUAUUAUAUAAAUAUAAUUAUUUAUUUUUCUAUUUUGUUGGGGUGACAAAAAUAUAAAUAUAACUUUUUUAUUUAUUUAACAUUGAUUUAUGAAUAUAUGAUCCAUUAUUAGUGAUUAUUAGAUUAAGUUACCUUAGGGAUAACAGCGUAAUCCUCCUCCAGAGUUCAUAUUUACAGGAUGGGCUUGCGACCUCGAUGUUGGAUUAAGAUAAUAAUCAGGUGUAGCCGCUUGAUAUAUAGGUCUGUUCGACCUUUAA